rnacentral:rRNA from 1 species
AGGAUAAACGCUGGCGGCGUGCCUAAUGCAUGCAAGUCGCACGGAUCACCCUUUCGGGGGUGGUGAGUGGCGAACGGGUGAGGAACGCGUGGAGAACCUACCCCGGCGUGGGGGAUACCCGCCAGAAAUGGCGGCUAAUACCGCGUACGGUUGCCGGACGAGAGGUCUGGCAAAGAAAGCCGCAAGGCGCGCUGGGAGGGGUCUGCGCCCGAUUAGCUAGUUGGCGGGGUAAUGGCCCACCAAGGCGGUGAUCGGUAGCUGGUCUGAGAGGAUGAUCAGCCACACGGGGACUGAGACACGGCCCCGACUCCUACGGGAGGCAGCAGCAAGGAAUUUUCCGCAAUGGGCGAAAGCCUGACGGAGCGACGCCGCGUGUGGGAAGAAGGCCUUCGGGUCGUAAACCACUGUCGAAGGGGAAGAUAUUGACGGUACCCUUGGAGGAAGCCCGGCUAACUACGUGCCAGCAGCCGC